ACGUAUCAUGAGUAGUAGAGCAAGGAUAUAAGCCAGGCCUCGAAGGACGGUGUUGGAGUCCGCAUCAUUGUUGGCGAUACCAUCAGGGUGCGGUGUUGGAGGCCGCGGAGACGGUGAAUGGAUGCUAUGCUGCUUCAGUGUCAUCCUGUGUCGAAAAAGCAUCCAAGAAAGAGAGGCGUUGUGGAGAGGAGCGAAAAAGAACGACAGGGAUAAGAAACAGCGGGGUUCAUCGGAGAUGGACUUCUUCAGGAUGCUAACACAUACAAAAUUUAGGAAGUCAUCAACAAAGGGAAGUUAUAGUGCCGUUUGUUCAGAUAUUGACAAAUAUACUAGCGAC